UACGAAGGGGGCUAGCGUUGUUCGGAAUCACUGGGCGUAAAGCGCACGUAGGCGGCUUGUUAAGUCGGGGGUGAAAUCCUGAGGCUCAACCUCAGAACUGCCUUCGAUACUGGCAAUCUCGAGUCCGGAAGAGGUUGGUGGAACAGCUAGUGUAGAGGUGAAAUUCGUAGAUAUUAGCUAGAACACCAGUGGCGAAGGCGGUUCUCUGGGCCUUACCUGACGCUGAGGAGCGAAAGCGUGGGGAGCGAACAGG
rnacentral:rRNA from 1 species